UAAUUCUAUGCCACUUCUUGGUAAUUUUAGCUCAUCAGUUUGUUUUGGUCAAAGUCAUCACCCCUACCGUUGAACUCUCUCUCUCCAUUGUUGUGGUUUUCUGUCAUUAAAAGACCUGCACAAGACCAUCUUGGGGUCAGUUUCUCAGCAACAGCAACAAUUGAGAUGCAUGGAGGAACAUGUCUCUUCAUUUCUUGCUUGUAAAUAUGACGUAUGAACUGAAAGCUGAUGUCUCUUUCAUAUGUUAAACUUGGAUGUUAAUUUUGUUAAUCUUACAUCAUUUUCUCAUACUGAUGUGGAUCUUAUUUGGUUGAUUCAUAAACUAAAUUUAGGGAUGAUGUUUUAGGGGUCUAAAGCAUUUUCUGGGAUUGAAGUAUAUUGAGUUUGUUUGUUUUUUUCUUUGCUGUUAAACAGGAAGAGGCUGCUAGAGAAGAGAAGCAGGCAAUGGAAAAAAUUGCGGCAAUAUUAGCAUCUCUUACAGCUAAGAAAACAGCUAUGGGGAGUCUUUUUUAACUACAUUUCUUGCCAAAAUUAGUAGCACAAAUAUGGUCAAUUACUCUGGGCAGCAGUUGGAAAAGGCAGCGUUAUUAAAUAGUGUAAUUCUGCACAGGUUGAUCAGCAUACUAGUACAACUCUGAAGUUGAAGAUAAUAGCAGCGCCUAGAUUGGCAUCCAUCGAGGAGAUGAGAACACCUGUAGUUGGAGAUCUUAUGGCGAAUUUUACCAGACCAAAUUUGGGCUGUACUGAAAGCAAGAUCCAACAACAUCAACAAGGGCCGUGUCUCGGAGCAUCACCUAAUAAUAGAACUUCUUUUGCAGAUGUCAAUUUCUCUUAAUGAGCUCCUUGAUAAGAAUAUUUAGACAAAUGGAAAACUUCAGCAGCUUCAUCUGUUGUUUGUUAUUGGAUGAGUCUUAAAUUCAAAAGUGUAUUAGUAUAAAGUUUGCCAAUUCGGAAAGCUGAGGUUGGCUUUAUGUUUAGUCUAAAAUGUAUCUUAUAAGCUACUGUGCCUGAGGGAUGUCUCUUGUAAAUAUGUAAAUCUUAUAAAAAUUAUAAAUGAUUUUCAAUUAUUUUUGUGCAAA